UUGGCUUUGCAGGGGCUGCCAGGAGGCCCCUUUUCCACUGCCAAGCCUCUUUCAUUGUUGUCUCAUCUUAGGAGGAGGAUGUGAUUAGCCUUUUCUGCCGUGGGAUGUCAGCUGAGGGAUAAGAACCAUGUGCCAAGAGGAGGAAAGAGCUGCCACGGAUGGAUGAAGGCUGUCCCUUUCAAACAUGAAGCACAGCAAGGCCAAGCCGGAUCCCUGUUCUCUUUGGGGAUCAACCUGCAGAGAUGAUGAGAGAAACAGAGCAAGUCCUCAGCUCUCUCCAGAGCUAAACUGGAAAACCACAGGCUUCACCAAAGCCCUUUGAGCCAACACAUCUCCCAGCAGAGUCUCUGUCACUUUCUCUCCACUCAAUGCUGGAAAUAAUGACAGGAGGAAAAUGGAGCUCCCUGGAGAGCAUGGAGCAGGGACGGGCCGUUUUGGUGUUGGACUCUCAUUACUGUGUUAAGUAAACCAGAAAGC